rnacentral:tRNA from 1 species
UCCUUGGUGGUCAAGUGACUAAGAUUCUGUACUUUCAAUGCAUGGGGCCCAGGUUCAUUCCCUGGUCAGGAAA